AGUUUUAGGUAAUCGCGGCUAAUUAAUUUUAGGUGAGGAAAGUCCAUGCUCGCACACGCUGAGAUGCGUGUAGUGUUCGUGCUUAGCGAAACAAUAAGCUAAGGCAAUUUAUAUUGACGGCAGUGGAACAUGCUACAGCCCUAACGGGCCAUGUAUAAGUACACUUGAAAGUGCCACAGUGACGAAGCAUUAUCGGAAACGGUAAUGGUGGAACGCGGUAAACCCCUCGAGCGAGCAACCCAAACUUUGGUAGGGGCACUUUUUCUAACGCGGAAAUGAACGUAUGAAAGAGGCACAGUUUAUGUGUAGAUAGAUGGUUACCCAUUGAUAGAGAUACCUAUGCUUUAUCAAUCGACAGAACAUGGCUUAUCGAA
rnacentral:RNase_P_RNA from 3 species